GCACAGUUUAUACCGUAGCUUGCUACACCAUAGACUGUGAGUUGCGAACGGGUGAGUAACGCGUAGGUAACCUGCCUAUUAGAGGGGGAUAACUAUUGGAAACGAUAGCUAAUACCGCAUAACAGUAUGUAACACAUGUUAGAUGCUUGAAAGAUGCAAUUGCAUCGCUAGUAGAUGGACCUGCGUUGUAUUAGCUAGUAGGUAGGGUAAUGGCCUACCUAGGCGACGAUACAUAGCCGACCUGAGAGGGUGAUCGGCCACACUGGGACUGAGACACGGCCCAGACUCCUACGGGAGGCAGCAGUAGGGAAUCUUCGGCAAUGGGGGGAACCCUGACCGAGCAACGCCGCGUGAGUGAAGAAGGUUUUCGGAUCGUAAAGCUCUGUUGUUAAGGAAGAACGAGUGUGAGAAUGGAAAGUUCAUACUGUGACGGUACUUAACCAGAAAGGGACGGCUAACUACGUGCCAGCAGCCGCGGUAAUACGUAGGUCCCGAGCGUUGUCCGGAUUUAUUGGGCGUAAAGCGAGCGCAGGCGGUUAGAAAAGUCUGAAGUGAAAGGCAGUGGCUCAACCAUUGUAGGCUUUGGAAACUGUUUAACUUGAGUGCAGAAGGGGAGAGUGGAAUUCCAUGUGUAGCGGUGAAAUGCGUAGAUAUAUGGAGGAACACCGGUGGCGAAAGCGGCUCUCUGGUCUGUAACUGACGCUG
rnacentral:rRNA from 1 species